GAUGAACGCUGGCGGCGUGCCUAAUACAUGCAAGUCGAGCGAACGGACGAGAAGCUUGCUUCUCUGAUGUUAGCGGCGGACGGGUGAGUAACACGUGGAUAACCUACCUAUAAGACUGGGAUAACUUCGGGAAACCGGAGCUAAUACCGGAUAAUAUUUUGAACCGCAUGGUUCAAAAGUGAAAGACGGUCUUGCUGUCACUUAUAGAUGGAUCCGCGCUGCAUUAGCUAGUUGGUAAGGUAACGGCUUACCAAGGCAACGAUGCAUAGCCGACCUGAGAGGGUGAUCGGCCACACUGGAACUGCGACACGGUCCAGACUCCUACGGGAGGCAGCAGUAGGGUGUCUUCCGCAAUGGGCGAAAGCCUGACGGAGCAACGCCGCGUGAGUGAUGAAGGUCUUCGGAUCGUAAAACUCUGUUAUUAGGGAAGAACAUAUGUGUAAGUAACUGUGCACAUCUUGACGGUACCUAAUCAGAAAGCCACGGCUAACUACGUGCCAGCAGCCGCGGUAAUACGUAGGUGGCAAGCGUUAUCCGGAAUUAUUGGGCGUAAAGCGCGCGUAGGCGGUUUUUUAAGUCUGAUGUGAAAGCCCACGGCUCAACCGUGGAGGGUCAUUGGAAACUGGAAAACUUGAGUGCAGAAGAGGAAAGUGGAAUUCCAUGUGUAGCGGUGAAAUGCGCAGAGAUAUGGAGGAACACCAGUGGCGAAGGCGACUUUCUGGUCUGUAACUGACGCUGAUGUGCGAAAGCGUGGGGAUCAAACAGGAUUAGAUACCCUGGUAGUCCACGCCGUAAACGAUGAGUGCUAAGUGUUAGGGGGUUUCCGCCCCUUAGUGCUGCAGCUAACGCAUUAAGCACUCCGCCUGGGGAGUACGACCGCAAGGUUGAAACUCAAAGGAAUUGACGGGGACCCGCACAAGCGGUGGAGCAUGUGGUUUAAUUCGAAGCAACGCGAAGAACCUUACCAAAUCUUGACAUCCUUUGACAACUCUAGAGAUAGAGCCUUCCCCUUCGGGGGGGCAAAGUGACAGGUGGUGCAUGGUUGUCGUCAGCUCGUGUCGUGAGAUGUUGGGUUAAGUCCCGCAACGAGCGCAACCCUUAAGCUUAGUUGCCAUCAUUAAGUUGGGCACUCUAAGUUGACUGCCGGUGACAAACCGGAGGAAGGUGGGGAUGACGUCAAAUCAUCAUGCCCCUUAUGAUUUGGGCUACACACGUGCUACAAUGGACAAUACAAAGGGCAGCGAAACCGCGAGGUCAAGCAAAUCCCAUAAAGUUGUUCUCAGUUCGGAUUGUAGUCUGCAACUCGACUACAUGAAGCUGGAAUCGCUAGUAAUCGUAGAUCAGCAUGCUACGGUGAAUACGUUCCCGGGUCU
rnacentral:rRNA from 1 species